rnacentral:rRNA from 1 species
UACAGAGGUCCCAAGCGUUGUUCGGAUUCACUGGGCGUAAAGGGUGCGUAGGCGGUCGAGUAAGUCUGACGUGAAAUCUCCGGGCCUAACCCGGAAACUGCGUCGGAUACUAUCCGGCUAGAGGAUUGGAAGGGAGACUGGAAUACUUGGUGUAGCAGUGAAAUGCGUAGAUAUCAAGUGGAACACCAGUGGCGAAGGCGAGUCUCUGGACAAUUCCUGACGCUGAGGCACGAGAGCCAGGGGAGCAAACGGG